rnacentral:rRNA from 1 species
UACGUAGGUGGCAAGCGUUGUCCGGAAUUACUGGGUGUAAAGGGAGCGUAGGCGGGAAUCCAAGUUGGGUGUGAAAUGUCCGGGCUUAACCCGGGAGCUGCAUCCAAAACUGGAUUUCUUGAGUGAUGUAGAGGCAGGCGGAAUUCCUAGUGUAGCGGUGAAAUGCGUAGAUAUUAGGAGGAACACCAGUGGCGAAGGCGGCCUGCUGGGCAUUAACUGACGCUGAGGCUCGAAAGCGUGGGGAGCAAACAGG